ACCUGCGGAGGGAUCAUUA
rnacentral:rRNA from 67 species